ACUCAAAGGAAUUGACGGGGGCCCGCACAAGCAGUGGAGUAUGUGGUUUAAUUCGAAGCAACGCGAAGAACCUUACCAGGUCUUGACAUCCAACUAACGAAGCAGAGAUGCAUCAGGUGCCCUUCGGGGAAAGUUGAGACAGGUGGUGCAUGGUUGUCGUCAGCUCGUGUCGUGAGAUGUUGGGUUAAGUCCCGCAACGAGCGCAACCCUUGUUUUUAGUUGCUACAUUUAGUUGAGCACUCUAGAGAGACUGCCGUUGACAAAACGGAGGAAGGUGGGGACGACGUCAAAUCAUCAUGCCCCUUAUGACCUGGGCUACACACGUACUACAAUGGCCGUCAACAGAGGGAAGCAAUUCCGCGAGGAGGAGCAAACCCCUAAAAACGGUCUCAGUUCGGAUCGCAGGCUGCAACCCGCCUGCGUGAAGUUGGAAUUGCUAGUAAUCGCGGAUCAGCAUGCCGCGGUGAAUACGUUCCCGGGCCUUGUACACACCGCCCGU
rnacentral:rRNA from 1 species